GUUUGCCAUUAUAAGAGGAACGAGAGGAGGCCCUCGUGCUGGCUUCCUUGAGGGAACGCAGUUCGCCAUUACAAGAGGAACGAGAGGAGGCCCUCGCAUUGGCUUCCUCGUGCGAUCGGAAGCACGGGUGCCGUUAGCCAUGGCUACAAGGACCCGUUGCAAAUGGAGGGGUUUUACAAGAUCCACCAUCUGUGAAAGCGGAAGGGCUACGAAGGCUAUCACGCUUGUUGGGAUGGACAGCCGUAGAUGAUGCAGGCGUAGAUGAGGGUGUUUAUGGGGUGAACUUGGAUGCAGAUCCCACGGGAGUGGGAGAAAACUUCUAUGAAGAGGAGCCCCUCCAGGAAGCGACAGAGUUUUACGGGCUAAAUCAAUAGAUACAUUUAUUUCCAUUCCUAAUUAUUGAUGCUUGAAACAUUUGGACCUUAUGGUCUGUACUAAAUGGUCCCCAACUGAGCGGACUAGAAUUUUAGAUAUGAUUUACUAUGAAAUGGUCUACCAUGGUUGCUUCUA